rnacentral:rRNA from 1 species
UACGAAGGGGGCUAGCGUUGCUCGGAAUUACUGGGCGUAAAACGCACGUAGGCGGCUUUCUAAGUCGGGGGUGAAAUCCUGGAGCUCAACUCCAGAACUGCCUUCGAUACUGGAAAGCUCGAGUCCGGGAGAGGUGAGUGGAACUGCGAGUGUAGAGGUGAAAUUCGUAGAUAUUCGCAAGAACACCAGUGGCGAAGGCGGCUCACUGGCCCGGUACUGACGCUGAGGUGCGAAAGCGUGGGGAGCAAACAGG